UACGAAGGGGGCUAGCGUUGUUCGGAAUUACUGGGCGUAAAGCGUGCGCAGGCGGCUUCUCAAGUCAGGGGUGAAAGCCCCGGGCUUAACUUGGGAAUUGCGCUCGAAACUACUUUGCUGGAGUGUGGCAGAGGAAGGUGGAAUUCCACGUGUAGCGGUGAAAUGCGUAGAGAUGUGGAGGAACACCAAUGGCGAAGGCAGCCUUCUGGGCCAACACUGACGCUCAUGCACGAAAGCGUGGGGAGCAAACAGG
rnacentral:rRNA from 1 species